CCUACGGGCGGCAGCAGUCGAGAAUCAUUCACAAUGGGGGAAACCCUGAUGGUGCGACGCCGCGUGGGGGAAUGAAGGUCUUCGGAUUGUAAACCCCUGUCAUGUAGGAGCAACUUAAAAAGAUAGUACCACAAGAGGAAGAGACGGCUAACUCUGUGCCAGCAGCCGCGGUAAUACAGAGGGCUCAAGCGUUGUUCGGAAUCACUGGGCGUAAAGCGUGCGUAGGCUGUUUCGUAAGUCGUGUGUGAAAGGCGCGGGCCCAACCCGCGGACGGCACAUGAUACUGCGAGACUAGAGUAAUGGAGGGGGAACCGGAAUUCUCGGUGUAGCAGUGAAAUGCGUAGAUAUCGGGAGGAACACUCGUGGCGAAGGCGGGUUCCUGGACAUUAACUGACGCUGAGGCACGAAGGCCAGGGGAGCGAAAGGGAUUAGAUACCCGAGUAGUC
rnacentral:rRNA from 1 species